rnacentral:sRNA from 1 species
UUUUUACCUUGCCUGGUGCACUGCUUCAAAUAUUAUUCCUGGGAGAAAUGUGAACCAAUUAAUUUUGAAAAUAUGUUAAUAAUGUCGGCUUGGGUCGGCGCCAGUGGAUUGCUGUGGGUAUCGUA